rnacentral:rRNA from 1 species
AUGCAAGUCGAACGGAAAGGCCCUUCGGGGUACUCGAGUGGCGAACGGGUGAGUAACACGUGGGUGAUCUGCCCUGCACUUUGGGAUAAGCCUGGGAAACUGGGUCUAAUACCGAAUAUGAUCAUCGGCUUCAUGGUCGGUGGUGGAAAGCUUUUGCGGUGUGGGAUGGGCCCGCGGCCUAUCAGCUUGUUGGUGGGGUAAUGGCCUACCAAGGCGACGACGGGUAGCCGGCCUGAGAGGGUGACCGGCCACACUGGGACUGAGAUACGGCCCAGACUCCUACGGGAGGCAGCAGUGGGGAAUAUUGCACAAUGGGCGCAAGCCUGAUGCAGCGACGCCGCGUGAGGGAUGACGGCCUUCGGGUUGUAAACCUCUUUCAGCACAGACGAAGCGCAAGUGACGGUAUGUGCAGAAGAAGGACCGGCCAACUACGUGCCAGCAGCCGCGGUAAUACGUAGGGUCCGAGCGUUGUCCGGAAUUACUGGGCGUAAAGAGCUCGUAGGUGGUUUGUCGCGUUGUUCGUGAAAACUCACAGCUUAACUGUGGGCGUGCGGGCGAUACGGGCAGACUAGAGUACUGCAGGGGAGACUGGAAUUCCUGGUGUAGCGGUGGAAUGCGCAGAUAUCAGGAGGAACACCGGUGGCGAAGGCGGGUCUCUGGGCAGUAACUGACGCUGAGGAGCGAAAGCGUGGGGAGCGAACAGGAUUAGAUACCCUGGUAGUCCACGCCGUAAACGGUGGGUACUAGGUGUGGGUUUCCUUCCUUGGGAUCCGUGCCGUAGCUAACGCAUUAAGUACCCCGCCUGGGGAGUACGGCCGCAAGGCUAAAACUCAAAGGAAUUGACGGGGGCCCGCACAAGCGGCGGAGCAUGUGGAUUAAUUCGAUGCAACGCGAAGAACCUUACCUGGGUUUGACAUGCACAGGACGCUGGUAGAGAUAUCAGUU